rnacentral:rRNA from 1 species
AUUGAACGCUGGCGGCAGGCCUAACACAUGCAAGUCGAGCGGAUGAAGGGAGCUUGCUCCUGGAUUCAGCGGCGGACGGGUGAGUAAUGCCUAGGAAUCUGCCUGGUAGUGGGGGAUAACGUCCGGAAACGGGCGCUAAUACCGCAUACGUCCUGAGGGAGAAAGUGGGGGAUCUUCGGACCUCACGCUAUCAGAUGCGCCUAGGUCGGAUUAGCUAGUUGGUGGGGUAAAGGCCUACCAAGGCGACGAUCCGUAACUGGUCUGAGAGGAUGAUCAGUCACACUGGAACUGAGACACGGUCCAGACUCCUACGGGAGGCAGCAGUGGGGAAUAUUGGACAAAGGGCGAAAGCCUGAUCCAGCCAUGCCGCGUGUGUGAAGAAGGUCUUCGGAUUGUAAAGCACUUUAAGUUGGGAGGAAGGGCAGUAAGUUAAUACCUUGCUGUUUUGACGUUACCAACAGAAUAAGCACCGGCUAACUUCGUG